rnacentral:hammerhead_ribozyme from 1 species
AUCCAACUGACGAGUCCCAAAUAGGACGAAACGCGCACCAAACUGGAU